AGAGUUUGAUCAUGGCUCAGAAUCAACGCUGGCGGCGUGCCUAACACAUGCAAGUCGAACGCGAAAGGGGCUUCGGCCCUGGGUAGAGUGGCAAACGGGUGAGUAACGCGUGGGUGACCUGCCCUUGAGUGGGGGAUAACGUUCCGAAAGGGACGCUAAUACCGCAUAACAUCCUGCUUUUGAACAGGUGGAGAUCAAAGCCGGGGACCGCAAGGCCUGGCGCUUGAGGAGGGGCCCGCGUCCGAUUAGCUAGUUGGUAGGGUAAUGGCCUACCAAGGCGACGAUCGGUAGCCGGCCUGAGAGGGCGGACGGCCACACUGGGACUGAGACACGGCCCAGACUCCUACGGGAGGCAGCAGUGGGGAAUUGUUCGCAAUGGGCGCAAGCCUGACGACGCAACGCCGCGUGGAGGAUGAAGGUCUUCGGAUUGUAAACUCCUGUUGAUCGGGAAGAAUGUCCUCGGGGCCAAUACCCCUGAGGAGUGACGGUACCGGUGAGAGCCCCG
rnacentral:rRNA from 1 species